AUUGUACUUCCUCCGUCCGAAAAUACUUGUCAUCAAAUGGAUAAAAAGGGAUGUGUCUAAAACUAAAAUACAUCUAGAUACAUCUCCUUUUAUCCAUUUUGCUGACAAGUAUUUCCGGACGGAGGGAGUACUUU
rfam:Triticum aestivum genome assembly, contig: Triticum_aestivum_CS42_TGACv1_scaffold_578183_7BL